rnacentral:antisense_RNA from 1 species
AUACGUUCCACCUGUAUGUUUGGAAGAGAAAGAACUGUGCUCACUGCUUCUGAGCUGUCCCUAUUUAUUCAUUUAUUUUUGGUCUGAUGGCUAAAUAAAGAUUUUUUUGGAUUCAAGAGAAAUAAUUUAAUGAGAUAAAAUAUUAUUUCCUAAGAAAAAUAUAUGAGCUGAAACCUGGGAAACAUCUAGAUAAUUUAAUUGAAAAUGAUUGACAUUCUCAAACAAAAAAGAAAAGAAAAUCAGAUACACCACUUUCUUCUCUCCCUAUCUGCGGAGGCUGCCUCCUCCAACCUGCAUAGCUGCAUCCCAGUGCAUGUGCACCUGCCUGCUUGGACACUUCAAUGACUAACUUCUCUGCAAAUACAUCAAUAGUUUCAUUGCCUUCAGGCUUCUUCCAUGUCUUUUAACUCUUGAACCUUCUGGUGCAUUUUAGCUUACCAACCAGCACAUGCUGCUUUGUACUUGUUUUAUGUAUUCAUUUAUUGCACAAAUUUUCCUUGAGUGCCUUGUUCAUGGAAGGUGCUAUUCCAGGAAUUUUAUGUGUAGUUUAAGUUACCUCCAUCUAAACUAUAAGAUUUUCAUAUAAUUCAUCUUUGUAGUUCUACCACAAGCAUAUUAGUAGAUUCUAAACAAGCGUUAACUCCACAUUUGUGUGCAUGUA